rnacentral:rRNA from 1 species
AUACGUAGGGUGCAAGCGUUAAUCGGAAUUACUGGGCGUAAAGCGUGCGCAGGCGGUUUUGUAAGACAGAGGUGAAAUCCCCGGGCUCAACCUGGGACCUGCCUUUGGGACUGGAAGGCCAGAGUACGGCAGAGGGGGACGGAAUUCGGGGUGUAGCAGUGAAAUGCGUAGAUAUGCGGAGGAACACCGAUGGCGAAGGCACUCCCCUGGGGCUGUACUGACGCUCAGGCACGAAAGCGUGGGGAGCAAACAGGAUUAGAGACCCUGGUAGUCCACGCCCUAAACGAUGUCAACUGGUUGUUGGGGAUUUAUUUUCUCAGUAACGAAGCUAACGCGUGAAGUUGACCGCCUGGGGAGUACGGCCGCAAGGUUAAAACUCAAAUGAAUUGGCGGGG